rnacentral:rRNA from 1 species
UACGUAGGCGGACCAGUCAGUCAGGGGUGAAAUCCCGGGGCUCAACCCCGGAACUGCCCUUGAUACUGCUGGUCUAGAGAUCGAGAGAGGUGUGUGGAAUUCCGAGUGUAGAGGUGAAAUUCGUAGAUAUUCGGAGGAACACCCGUGGCGAAGGCGGCACACUGGCUCGAUACUGACGCUGAGGUACGAAAGCGUGGGGAGCAAACA